CAUUCACACUCUGGGCAGCCUCUGAGUGAAAUGCUGUUUUCUUUAGAAAUACAUAGCUGUCUCAGACAAUAUGAGGGAUACAACUAAUAUUAGAUACCAUUUAAUAUGCCCCAUAAAUGUCUUCAAUGUUCUUCAGAGUAAUGGGGAUCUCAGAAGAUUUGGUUCAGAUCCAAACAAAUAUACAUUCUGUGUGUUAGCUAAGGGCUUUCU